rnacentral:rRNA from 1 species
AUUGAACGCUGGCGGCAGGCCUAACACAUGCAAGUCGAACGGUAACAGGAAGAAGCUUGCUUCUUUGCUGACGAGUGGCGGACGGGUGAGUAAUGUCUGGGAAACUGCCUGAUGGAGGGGGAUAACUACUGGAAACGGUAGCUAAUACCGCAUAACGUCGCAAGACCAAAGAGGGGGACCUUCGGGCCUUUUGCCAUCGGAUGUGCCCAGAUGGGAUUAGCUAGUAGGUGGGGUAACGGCUCACCUAGGCGACGAUCCCUAGCUGGUCUGAGAGGAUGACCAGGCACACUGGAACUGAGACACGGUCCAGACUCCUACGGGAGGCAGCAGUGGGGAAUAUUGCACAAUGGGCGCAAGCCUGAUGCAGCCAUGCCGCGUGUAUGAAGAAGGCCUUCGGGUUGUAAAGUACUUUCAGCGGGGAGGAAGGGAGUAAAGUUAAUACCUUUGCUCAUUGACGUUACCCGCAGAAGAAGCACCGGCUAACUCCGUG